UUAACUCAUAUUUGUAUGGAAUGGGAUCGUUUGCCUACGUUUGCCGUUAGGGGCGCUGUUCCAACUGCAUACAAAAUUGGGUUA
rnacentral:pre_miRNA from 1 species